rnacentral:lncRNA from 1 species
AUAACGGACGGUGUGCCUUGGAUGGGGCUCACACUGCAUUAGCCCCAUAGGAUAGGAAUGCAACCUGAGAUCCACCACGGAAUGAUCUCCCAGCCUCCUUCCUGUGGUGAGACAUGUUGGGAGCCAUUAGGCUGGGACAGAUGGCACGGAGCAACUCCACAAUCUUGGGACAAUUAAAAAUCAUCCCUCCACCCAUCGUUUCUUCAGCACUUCUUUGGAAGUACAACUUGAUUGAGUAGUUCGAAAGCCUAACCCUAAGGCGUUUGGAAGCUAAGAAGGGUUGUGAAAGGUGCCAGAUCUGACAGACAUCUAGCAACAGGACAGUCACAGAGGCCAUAUGAGCCACCCAAGCUGUGCAUUCAGCCCUCAACUGACACCCAUGUUCAUGACUGGGAGCCUCUGACCUUAUUGGAAGCUUUUCCCUCUCUAUUAUCCAGCACAGUAAAAUAAUAACAGUAACACCUCGCUCUCUUCAUCUGUAGCUCACAAGUAAGUCAGCAUCAUUUUACAGAAGGGGAAGCAAGCCCAAGGUCACACACCAGUAGCAGAGUUAGAAAUAGAACCCAGGCCCCAUGACAGCCAGCAUGUUGCCUAGUCCCCUGGGUCAUAUUGUGUCCUGAAUAACAAACGACCCACGUCUGCUAGCCAGGGUUCAUCACCCUCUUUAUGGCCCAACUAGCACUAGGGGGAGACAAAGCACCAAAGUGAGUGAUUGAGUGUGGGU